rnacentral:rRNA from 1 species
UACGUAGGGGGCAAGCGUUAUCCGGAUUUACUGGGUGUAAAGGGAGCGUAGACGGACUGUCAAGUCUGAUGUGAAAGGCGGGGGCUCAACCCCUGGACUGCAUUGGAAACUGUUAGUCUUGAGUGCCGGAGAGGUAAGCGGAAUUCCUAGUGUAGCGGUGAAAUGCGUAGAUAUUAGGAGGAACACCAGUGGCGAAGGCGGCUUACUGGACGGUAACUGACGUUGAGGCUCGAAAGCGUGGGGAGCAAACAGG